rnacentral:rRNA from 1 species
UACGUAGGUGGCAAGCGUUGUCCGGAUUUACUGGGUGUAAAGGGCGUGUAGGCGGGUCUACAAGUCAGAUGUGAAAUGCCAAGGCUUAACCUUGGAGCUGCAUUUGAAACUGUAGGUCUUGAGUGAUGGAGAGGCAGGCGGAAUUCCUAGUGUAGCGGUGAAAUGCGUAGAUAUUAGGAGGAACACCAGUGGCGAAGGCGGCCUGCUGGACAUUAACUGACGCUGAGGCGCGAAAGCGUGGGGAGCAAACAGG